rnacentral:misc_RNA from 1 species
GAUGAAGAACGUAGCGAAAUGCGAUAAGUAAUGUGAAUUGCAGAAUUCAGUGAAUCAUCGAAUCUUUGAACGCACAUUGCGCCCCUUGGUAUUCCGAGGGGCAUGCCUGUUCGAGCGUCAUUAUAACCCCUCAAGCUCAGCUUGGUGUUGGGGCCUGCUGCACUGGCAGCCCUUAAAAUCAGUGGCGGCGCCAUCUGGCUCUAAGCGUAGUAAUUCUUCUCGCUAUGGAGUCCUGGUGGAUGCUUGCCAUCAACCCCCAAUUUUUCUAUGGUUGACCUCGGAUCAGGUAGGGAUACCCGCUGAACUUAAGCAUAUCAAUAAGCGUAGGA